GUCAAGUAUGUGUUAUUGAAGAUACUUCAGCAAUAUUAGUGAGAUGGCAGGAAUUUGUGGUCCCUUGCUGAAUGGGAAGCAGACGGAUUCAGAGAUGACCUCUGUCUCAGAAAGUGAUGGUUACUGGAAUUUGGGAAGAUGUGCAAAGGGGACUCAACACCUUCCUUGUGAACUUUAUGUUAAGGAAGAGGCGGGAUUUUCACGGCAGCAAACAGCUCAGUGUGGAGCCAGAGAGAGAGAGAUGCCCCGACAGUGCCA
rnacentral:lncRNA from 12 species